GCUGGGGCUGAAUAAGUAUCUCCACUUUCCUAACCCCAUUCCAAUAUUCUAUGUGCUACCAUGCUCUCCUAUUUCAACCCAAUGGAUGAGCAGGAAACAUUCCUAAGAUGAGCAGGUAGCCAGUGGAGCUGGACCCAAGCCUCCCCAGCCCGUGGCCAGUGACACCCUUCAUGAUCAGAAGGCUUUAAAUAAUCCUCAUUCAGAAACCUCAUAUUACUUUUGAAUGCCUACCGUGUAAAAGCACCCCCUGCGUUCUGGAUAACUCAUUUCAAGAAACAUAGUAUUAAGUGCUUAAUAUGUGCCAGGCGCCGGAAUAGGUGCAAGGGUAAAAAUGUCUUGCCACCAAGGAACCUCCCGCAUUUGUGAAUCUGCGGAACGGCACCACUGAUGGAUUAGAUGUUGCCGCCUUUACCCUUCUCCCUCCUGCCACGUGUCAUGACGCCUGCUUAGCGACACCUAGUGGUCAGUGAAGAGAACUGUCUGAAUCAAUGACGCCGGUUAGGACUUCCUCUCAACAGUUUCAGCAAAUGUUUUUCUGCUGUGUCAGAUCCUCCCCCUAGAUCAGAUCAUUAGAACCUCUUCCAAUAUCUUUCUUAUGGAUGUGUGUCUAGAAUUACCUUUUUGUUUUUUUGAGACAGCGUCUUGCUCGGUUGCCCAGACUGGAGUGCAACUCACUGCACCACUCACUGCAACCUCAAGCGAUCCUCCCACCUCAGCCUCCUGAGUGGCUGGGAUUACAUGGACGCGCCAUCACGCCUAAUUUUUGUACUUUUAGUAGUUUCACUAUGUUGGCCAGCUGGUCUUGAACUCCUGACCUCAGGUCAUCUGCUGCCUUGGCCUCCUAAAGUUCUGAGAUUGUGAGUAUAAGCCAUCGCACUGAGCCUAGAAUUACUUUUUAAAAUCUCUUUCUGUACACAUUUGAUCAAUAACCUUGGAAACAUUAUACUUAUAGUAUGUUUUAUUGCUGUAAGGGAAAGUUAAGGCUUUUGAAUUAGCAAAAAUGAUUACUGAGCAUCUCCAGUGGAAAACUAUCCAUUCUUUACAGCACAUCUUUCUAACUUACUUGUUUCUAUGGAGUUUGUGCCUUUUCUUGUCUUGGAGUUAUUUCAGAACUCUAGAUUUUAAAUAAAUACAAAUAAUUCUUGUCUAUAAACGUGCAAAUAAAUUCUGACUUAUGGAAGUUCAGUAGACUCCACCUCACCCCACACCUUCACUCCACCCCACCUCCCGUGGAAAGAGCCAAUUUUGUGUCCAUUGGUAAAUUAAGUUCAAAGUUACCUUACUCUAUAUAAAUUGUUCUUUGAUCUUUCCUUUGAACCAGUUGUGACCUCUGGCUAGUUUCCCCUCUAAUUCAUGAGUUAAAUAAAAUUUUGAGAUGUUUUCAUUCUAUUA